rnacentral:rRNA from 1 species
AGGACGAACGCUGGCGGCGUGCUUAACACAUGCAAGUCGAACGGAGUUGCAGGAGAGCUUGCUCGAAUGUAACUUAGUGGCGAACGGGUGAGUAACGCGUGAGCAACCUGUCUCAUACAGGGGGAUAACACUUGGAAACAGGUGCUAAUACCGCAUAAGACCACAGUGCCGCAUGACACAGGGGUCAAAGAAAUUCGGUAUGAGGUGGGCUCGCGUCUGAUUAGAUAGUUGGUGAGGUAACGGCUCACCAAGUCGACGAUCAGUAGCCGGCCUGAGAGGGUGACCGGCCACAUUGGGACUGAGACACGGCCCAAACUCCUACGGGAGGCAGCAGUGGGGAAUAUUGCACAAUGGGGGAAACCCUGAUGCAGCGACGCCGCGUGAGUGAAGAAGUAUUUCGGUAUGUAAAGCUCUAUCAGCAGGGAAGAAAAUGACGGUACCUGACUAAGAAGCCCCGGCUAACUACGUG